CCUACGGGGGGCAGCAGUCGAGAAUCAUUCACAAUGGGGGAAACCCUGAUGGUGCGACGCCGCGUGGGGGAAUGAAGGUCUUCGGAUUGUAAACCCCUGUCAUGUGGGAGCAAAUUAAAAAGAUAGUACCACAAGAGGAAGAGACGGCUAACUCUGUGCCAGCAGCCGCGGUAAUACAGAGGUCUCAAGCGUUGUUCGGAAUCACUGGGCGUAAAGGGUGCGUAGGCUGUUUCGUAAGUCGUGUGUGAAAGGCGCGGGCUCAACCCGCGGACGGCACAUGAUACUGGGAGACUAGAGUAAUGGAGGGGGAACCGGAAUGCUCGGUGUAGCAGUGAAAUGCGUAGAUAUCGAGAGGAACACUCGUGGCGAAGGCGGGUUCCUGGACAUUAACUGACGCUGAGGCACGAAGGCCAGGGGAGCGAAAGGGAUUAGAUACCCCAGUAGUC
rnacentral:rRNA from 1 species